rnacentral:rRNA from 1 species
UACGGAGGGUGCGAGCGUUAAUCGGAAUAACUGGGCGUAAAGGGCACGCAGGCGGUGGAUUAAGUGAGAUGUGAAAGCCCCGGGCUUAACCUGGGAAUUGCAUUUCAUACUGGUCGACUAGAGUACUUUAGGGAGGGGUAGAAUUCCACGUGUAGCGGUGAAAUGCGUAGAGAUGUGGAGGAAUACCGAAGGCGAAGGCAGCCCCUUGGGAAGAUACUGACGCUCAUGUGCGAAAGCGUGGGGAGCAAAC